rnacentral:rRNA from 1 species
UACAGAGGGUGCGAGCGUUAAUCGGAAUUACUGGGCGUAAAGCGCGCGUAGGCGGCUUCGCAAGUCGGAUGUGAAAUCCCCGGGCUUAACCUGGGAACUGCAUUCGAGACUGCGUUGCUAGAGUAUGGGAGAGGGAAGUGGAAUUUCAGGUGUAGCGGUGAAAUGCGUAGAUAUCUGAAGGAACAUCAGUGGCGAAAGCGACUUCCUGGACCAAUACUGACGCUCAUGUGCGAAAGCGUGGGGAGCAAACAGG